rnacentral:rRNA from 1 species
AUUGAACGCUGGCGGCAGGCCUAACACAUGCAAGUCGAGCGAGCGGCGGACGGGUGAGUAAUGUCUGGGAAACUGCCUGUUGGAGGGGGAUAACUACUGGAAACGGUAGCUAAUACCGCAUACAGUCAGAUGUGCCCAGAUGGGAUUAGCUAGGAGGUGGGGUAAGGGCUCACCGAGGCGACGAUCCCUAGCUGGUCUGAGAGGAGGACCAGCCAUCCGGGAACUGGGACACGGUCCAUACUCCUCCGGGAGGCGGCAGUGGGGAAUAUUGCACAAGGGGCGCAAGCCUGAUGCGGCCAUGCCGCGUGUGUGAAGAAGGCCUUCGGGUUGUAAGGCCCUUUCAGCGGGGAGGCGUUACCCGCAGAAGAAGCACCGGCUAACUCCGUGCCAGCAGCCGCGGUAAUUC